rnacentral:lncRNA from 1 species
CAGCAACAAGCGUCUCAAUUUUGGCGGAAACAGGAAACUGGAAGGAUAAUCCGGAAUAAUUUGUUAUGAAGUCACAUCCUGAGUAGGUGCAAUUGGCUGCUUAUUCAAACAGUGAAACUGUCUGAUAGCUCUAAAUAAAGCGUAUAACGAGCAAGUAAACAGAAGCUGAAACAAAGUUUGAUCGGAAUAAGAAGGGCAAAUGUCAUUUCCAGACUCCUAAAGUGAUCACUUAGGCUGUUAAAGAACAGGACUUUGAGGUCAUGUUGGAGGUAAAAGAAAAACACUCCUCCAAAAUUAGUGAUAUUUACCAGAAAUGACAAAGCAGAGACAGCCUAUUUAGUAGGAAAUUGUACUGCCACAAGGUGCAAUAGGGAGAGUCAACUGUUAUUUGCAAUUCAGUUAUUUGCAACAUUCUGUGUUUUCGACAUUGAAUAUCCAUUCUUAAGCAAUGCCUUUAGGAUUUUUGCAGCAAUUUGUAUUUGGAGAACACUAUACAAAUGAAGGUUAAGAAAAUCUAUUUUUUUCUGUGAGAAGAAUAGAACCGUAUUUAAAUAAAUGAGUUACAUGGUUAAGGUAUUGGGAGAAUAAUAAAAUUGGCAAUCAUUUGCAAAUAUUUCUUUCUUCUGAAAUAUCAUUCUGGUUUGUAUUUUGCUGAAAUCAAAUGCAGCAGCUCAAGAUAGAGAAUAGUUUCCAGUAAUGCUAAUAUCAAUGAAUGGCACCACUGGUCUCUUCUGAGCAGAUAGAUUGACAUUUUUCAAAUAAUAUUACUGGUAGGCCCUACUGGGCUUUUCAAAAUAGUAUUUUUGUUACUGAGCAGGGACAUAUUUUACAAAAUGAACUUACUGGUACUGAGCAAGUUGAUUGACAUUCUCAAAAUGUUACAAUUAGUUGUGAGCAGACAGGUUGAUAUCUUUUAAAUGCAACUGGAACUGAGCAGGCUUUUAACAUUUUCAAAAUGAAAUUGUAUAUAUAUAUUAUUGUAUAUUACAGUAAUUCAUAAAUAAAUGUGUACUUUCUUAUGUUCUGAGAUGUAUGCAAGAAUACAAUAGUAGUAUAUUUUUCUAUAUUAUUGUAUAAGUCUGUCAAGGUUAUGUCUAGUCGAAAUGUUGGUUUUAUGCCACUGAUGAAAUAAUUUUGUAACUAGUGAUUCCAACCUCACCUGAUUUAUUUGCUUUGGGAAAAAGUCAUAGUCAUGUGCCAGUGUCCUUUUGUUAAAAAAAAAUAUCCUGAAUUUUUCUUAAGUACCAUUUUAUCUUUGAAACUUGGAUUAUGACCAUCGUCUAUUUGCAGGAGUACAAAAUUCUGUCAAUAUUUUUUCAUUAUGGUAAUUUUUUACACAGUUUCUAAAUUUUUUAUGAUAGGGAACACUUUUACAGGAAAUUAUGUUAAAAGCAUGGUAGCUUGUUUGUCAUGUACUAUAUUGAUCUAAAGUGUUUGCUUUUUUUCACCCAUUUGACGACAGGGUGUUUUUUUACAAUAGGCAGAUUAAAUAAAUCAUUUUGGAGCAAAGCAGUAAAAACAGUAAGAUAAAUUUUAUUUUCAACUCAAGCAGUUCAGCCAUGCGCUUCCAUAAAAACAAUUACAAUAUACACAAAAACGGACUGUGUAACAAUUAAUAUACCAAAUGAAUUUAUUGAUAAUAAGAUAUUUUGCAGCAGAUUAAUAUCUUCAUACGUUUUUAUGACAGUUUUUUCAGGUAUGUUUAAAAUGCAGCUAAAGAACACUAUACGUGUGCAUAAAAAGCUCAUGCUUGUAAAAUAGUCAGAUUAAAUAGUUGCAUAUGAUGUUGGUAGUUUUUCUUCAAAAUGUUUUUGAAAUAAAAUUGUUGUUUUUUUCCA